rnacentral:rRNA from 1 species
GACGAACGCUGGCGGCGUGCCUAAUACAUGCAAGUAGAACGCUGAAGGAGGAGCUUGCUCUUCUGGACGAGUUGCGCACGGGUGAGUAACGCGUAGGUAACCUGCCUGGUAGCGGGGGAUAACUCUUGGAAACGAUAGCUAAUACCGCAUAACAGUAGAUGUUGCAUGACAUUUGCUUAAAAGGUGCAAUUGUACCACUACCAGAUGGACCUGCGUUGUAUUAGCUAGUUGGUGGGGUAACGGCUCACCAAGGCGACGAUACAUAGUCGACCUGAGAGGGUGGUCGGCCAAACUGGGACUGAGACACGGCUCAGGCUCCCAAGGGAAGGAGCAGGAAGGGAACUUCGGGAAUGGACGGAAGGCUUGACGGGCAAAGCCGGGGGAGUGGAGGAGGGUUUCGGAUCGGAAAGCUCUGUUGUAAGGGGAGAACGAGUGGGGGAGUGGAAAGUGCACGCUGUGACGGUAUCUUACCAGAAAGGGACGGCUAACUACGUG